rnacentral:rRNA from 1 species
CUCCCUAGGACCAAACUUCCGGGGGCGGGGAGGAGCAAUCUGCGUACUAUCAGCUAGUUGGUGAGGUAAUGGCUCACCAAGGCUACGACGGUUAACUGGUCUGAGAGGAUGAUCAGUCACACUGGAACUGAGACACGGUCCAGACUCCUACGGGGAGGCAGCAGUGAGGAAUAUUGCGCAAUGGGCGAAAGCCUGACGCAGCGACGCCGCGUGGAGGAUGACGGAUUUCGGUCUGUAAACUCCCUGUCAGUAGGGAAGAGAAUGGGACGGUACCUACUGAGGAAGCUUCGGCUAACUACGUGCCAGCAGCCGCGGUAAGACGUAGGAAGCAAGCGUUGUCCGGAAUUACUGGGCGUAAAGAGCUCGUAGGCGGGAUCGUAAGUCUUAGAGUAAAUCUCACGGCUCAACCGUGGGGCCUUCGUGAGAUACUGCGAUUCUUGAGGAUGUCAGAGGAAAGUGGAAUUCCGGUGUAGCGGUG